rnacentral:rRNA from 1 species
GGGCACUGACUGCUUAUUGCACCACAUGUGUUUUUCUUUGAAACAAACUUGCUUUGGCGGUGGGCCCAGCCUGCCGCCAGAGGUCUAAACUUACAACCAAUUUUUUAUCAACUUGUCACACCAGAUUAUUACUAAUAGUCAAAACUUUCAACAACGGAUCUCUUGGUUCUCGCAUCGAUGAAGAACGCAGCGAAAUGCGAUACGUAAUAUGAAUUGCAGAUAUUCGUGAAUCAUCGAAUCUUUGAACGCACAUUGCGCCCUCUGGUAUUCCGGAGGGCAUGCCUGUUUGAGCGUCGUUUCUCCCUCAAACCGCUGGGUUUGGUGUUGAGCAAUACGACUUGGGUUUGCUUGAAAGACGGUAGUGGUAAGGCGGGAUCGCUUUGACAAUGGCUUAGGUCUAACCAAAAACAUUGCUUGCGGCGGUAACGUCUACCACGUAUAUCUUCAAACUUUGACCUCAAAUCAGGUAGGACUACCCGCUGAACUUAAGCAUAUCAAUAAGGCGGAGGAA